UACGAAGGGGGCUAGCGUUGUUCGGAAUUACUGGGCGUAAAGCGCACGUAGGCGGAUACUUAAGUCAGGGGUGAAAUCCCGGGGCUCAACCCCGGAACUGCCUUUGAUACUGGGUAUCUCGAGUCCGGAAGAGGUGAGUGGAAUUCCGAGUGUAGAGGUGAAAUUCGUAGAUAUUCGGAGGAACACCAGUGGCGAAGGCGGCUCACUGGUCCGGUACUGACGCUGAGGAGCGAAAGCAUGGGGAGCGAACAGG
rnacentral:rRNA from 1 species